GCCAGCAGCCAUAUCACCCUGCAACUCACAACUGGCAACCCACUGAAGCUAAGCAGGUGUGAGCCUGGUCAGUACCUGGAUGUGAGACCUCCUGGGAAAAACUAAGGUUGCUGCUGGAA
ensembl:rRNA 5S_rRNA 5S ribosomal RNA